rnacentral:lncRNA from 1 species
CCCCCUCUUGUUUGGAUAAUUACAUCUACCCCCCUCAACUAUGAUUUUUUCUUACCUUUAUGGUGCCAAAUUCAACAUAGUCAUCUAGAUUCCGUGAAAUGUGCUCUAGUUUGUACUAUUUGUGUAAAAAAUACAGUUUUCGAUGCACCACAAACUGAUAUAUACAAGCUAAAAAUCACAUAUUAUGGUCAUCUUGCUUCAUAAUGUAGAGUUUGA